rnacentral:rRNA from 1 species
UACGUAGGUGGCAAGCGUUGUCCGGAUUUAUUGGGUUUAAAGGGUGCGUAGGCGGUCCUAUAAGUCAGUUGUGAAAUACGGCAGCUUAACUGUCGAGGUGCAAUUGAUACUGCAGGACUUGAGUACAGAAGAGGUAGGCGGAAUUGACGGUGUAGCGGUGAAAUGCUUAGAUAUCGUCAAGAACACCGAUAGCGAAGGCAGCUUACUAGACUGUAACUGACGCUGAUGCACGAAAGUGUGGGGAUCAAACAGG